rnacentral:rRNA from 1 species
UACGUAGGGUGCGAGCGUUGUCCGGAAUUAUUGGGCGUAAAGAGCUCGUAGGCGGUGUGUCACGUCGGCCGUGAAAACCUGGGGCUUAACUCUGGGCGUGCGGUCGAUACGGGCAUCACUAGAGUUCGGCAGGGGGAGACUGGAAUUCCUGGUGUAGCGGUGAAAUGCGCAGAUAUCAGGAGGAACACCGGUGGCGAAGGCGGGUCUCUGGGCCGAUGACUGACGCUGAGGAGCGAAAGCAUGGGGAGCGAACAGG